rnacentral:rRNA from 1 species
CGAAUGGCUCAUUAAAUCAGUUAUCGUUUAUUUGAUAGUACCUUACUACUUGGAUAACCGUGGUAAUUCUAGAGCUAAUACAUGCUAAAAACCCCAACUUCGGGAGGGGUGUAUUUAUUAGAUAAAAAACCAAUGCCCUUCGGGGCUCUUUGGUGAUUCAUGAUAACUUAACGGAUCGCAUGGCCUUGCGCCGGCGACGGUUCAUUCAAAUUUCUGCCCUAUCAACUUUCGAUGGUAAGGUAUUGGCUUACCAUGGUUUCAACGGGUAACGGGGAAUUAGGGUUCGAUUCCGGAGAGGGAGCCUGAGAAACGGCUACCACAUCCAAGGAAGGCAGCAGGCGCGCAAAUUACCCAAUCCCGACUCGGGGAGGUAGUGACAAUAAAUACUGAUACAGGGCUCUUUUGGGUCUUGUAAUCGGAAUGAGUACAAUUUAAACCCCUUAACGAGGAACAAUUGGAGGGCAAGUCUGGUGCCAGCAGCCGCGGUAAUUCCAGCUCCAAUAGCGUAUAUUAAAGUUGUUGCAGUUAAAAAGCUCGUAGUUGAACCUUGGGCCUGGCUGGCCGGUCCGCCUCACCGCGUGUACUGGUCCGGCCGGGCCUUUCCUUCUGGAGAGCCGCAUGCCCUUCACUGGGUGUGUCGGGGAACCAGGACUUUUACUUUGAAAAAAUUAGAGUGUUCAAAGCAGGCCUUUGCUCGAAUACGUUAGCAUGGAAUAAUAGAAUAGGACGUGCGGUCCUAUUUUGUUGGUUUCUAGGACCGCCGUAAUGAUUAAUAGGGAUAGUCGGGGGCAUCAGUAUUCAAUUGUCAGAGGUGAAAUUCUUGGAUUUAUUGAAGACUAACUACUGCGAAAGCAUUUGCCAAGGAUGUUUUCAUUAAUCAGUGAACGAAAGUUAGGGGAUCGAAGACGAUCAGAUACCGUCGUAGUCUUAACCGUAAACUAUGCCGACUAGGGAUCGGGCGAUGUUUCUAUCUUGACUCGCUCGGCACCUUACGAGAAAUCAUAAG